rnacentral:rRNA from 1 species
AUUGAACGCUGGCGGCAGGCCUAACACAUGCAAGUCGAGCGGAUGACGGGAGCUUGCUCCUUGAUUCAGCGGCGGACGGGUGAGUAAUGCCUAGGAAUCUGCCUGGUAGUGGGGGACAACGUUUCGAAAGGAACGCUAAUACCGCAUACGUCCUACGGGAGAAAGCAGGGGACCUUCGGGCCUUGCGCUAUCAGAUGAGCCUAGGUCGGAUUAGCUAGUUGGUGAGGUAAUGGCUCACCGAGGCGACGAUCCGUAACUGGUCUGAGAGGAUGAUCAGUCACACUGGAACUGAGACACGGUCCAGACUCCUACGGGAGGCAGCAGUGGGGAAUAUUGGACAAUGGGCGAAAGCCUGAUCCAGCCAUGCCGCGUGUGUGAAGAAGGUCUUCGGAUUGUAAAGCACUUUAAGUUGGGAGGAAGGGCAGUAAGUUAAUACCUCGCUGUUUUGACGUUACCAACAGAAUAAGCACCGGCUAACUCUGUGCCAGCCGCCGCCGUAAAAC